rnacentral:rRNA from 1 species
CAGCCGCCGCGGUAAUACGUAGGUGGCAAGCGUUGUCCGGAAUUAUUGGGCGUAAAGGGCUCGCAGGCGGUUUCUUAAGUCUGAUGUGAAAGCCCCCGGCUCAACCGGGGAGGGUCAUUGGAAACUGGGAAACUUGAGUGCAGAGGAGGAGAGUGGAACUCCACGUGUAGCGGUGAAAUGCGUAGAGAUGUGGAGGAACACCAGUGGCGAAGGCGACUCUCUGGUCUGUAACUGACGCUGAGGAGCGAAAGCGUGGGAAGCGAACAGGAUUAGAUACCCCCGUAGUCCCUGUCUCUUAUAC